GGAGGCCGCGGCGGGGGGAGCGGCCCGAGGAGGACGCGGAGCUCUGCCCGCCCCGGGAGCGGAGCCGGCCCGAGCCGGGACUCCCCCCGCCCCCAUCCGCCGCGCCGGGCGGGGGCCUGGCGCCAGGUCGGGGAAGGCGCUCCAAAGGCUCUCGGAGACCGUGGCGGCCCGGCGGCGCCGGUUGCCCAGCGCACCGGGAGCGGCAAUCCGAGGGCUCCCGGAGAUGUCUUCGCGGGUGGGUGACCUUUUGGAGAGAAUAUCCGCCAUAUAAUUCAUCAGUCCGAAAGGAGCGUUCUCGCCACAGGCAGGUACGAAGUGACAGUGUAAAUGGCAUGUGGUUGGCACAGAGCCACAGCACGUCUGGCUUGGCUUCAGGCAGCAGACUGAAGGAGAGAGCGAGCGAGGGAGAGAAGAUCAAUCUGAAGUCCAAGGCAGAGAAUUACUGGCAUAGGCAUCCCUAG
rnacentral:lncRNA from 1 species